rnacentral:rRNA from 1 species
UACGUAGGGUGCGAGCGUUGUCCGGAAUUAUUGGGCGUAAAGAGCUCGUAGGCGGUGUGUCGCGUCGGCCGUGAAAACCUGGGGCUUAACUCUGGGCGUGCGGUCGAUACGGGCAUCACUAGAGUUCGGCAGGGGAGACUGGAAUUCCUGGUGUAGCGGUGAAAUGCGCAGAUAUCAGGAGGAACACCGGUGGCGAAGGCGGUUCUCUGGGCCGAUACUGACGCUGAGGAGCGAAAGCGUGGGGAGCAAACAGG